AAAGGUUAUUCAAUAACCUUCGCAUGGAACCAUCGACGGGCAAAUUCCGGUAUAAAUAAAAUAAAAAAAAUUAAUUCCAUAUAAAUAAGACCAAUACACGUACUUGAAUACGCCAAUACACGUACUUGAAUACGGGGUGUUACAGUUACACUCAAUUAAUUCAUGAAAUACUCGCCCGUAUACUACAGGACCACGAUCCAUCUCAUUAGGUACUCUAGUUGUCCUUUGUCGAUUAGGACGACGAUAGAAUUCAUUACUUCUCAUUAU
rnacentral:lncRNA from 1 species